UACGAAGGGGGCUAGCGUUGCUCGGAAUCACUGGGCGUAAAGCGCACGUAGGCGGUCUCUUAAGUCGGUGGUGAAAUCCUGGAGCUCAACUCCAGAACUGCCUUCGAUACUGAGAGUCUCGAGUCCGGGAGAGGUGAGUGGAACUGCGAGUGUAGAGGUGAAAUUCGUAGAUAUUCGCAAGAACACCAGUGGCGAAGGCGGCUCACUGGCCCGGUACUGACGCUGAGGUGCGAAAGCGUGGGGAGCGAACAGG
rnacentral:rRNA from 1 species